rnacentral:rRNA from 1 species
UACGUAGGGUGCGAGCGUUGUCCGGAAUUAUUGGGCGUAAAGAGCUCGUAGGCGGCGUGUCACGUCGGAUGUGAAAGCCCGGGGCUUAACCCCGGGUCUGCAUUCGAUACGGGCAUGCUGGAGUUCGGUAGGGGAGAGUCGGAAUUCCUGGUGUAGCGGUGAAAUGCGCAGAUAUCGGGAGGAACACCAGUGGCGAAGGCGACUACCUGGCCUGUUCUUAACGCUGAGGCGCGAAAGCUAGGGGAGCAACGGGG